rnacentral:rRNA from 1 species
GACGACCGCUGGCGGCGUGCUUAACCCAUGCAAGUCGAACGGAAAGGCCCUGCUUUUGUGGGGUGCUCGAGUGGCGAACGGGUGAGUAACACGUGAGUAACCUGCCCUUGACUUUGGGAUAACUUCAGGAAACUGGGGCUAAUACCGGAUAGGAGCUCCUGCUGCAUGGUGGGGGUUGGAAAGUUUCGGCGGUUGGGGAUGGACUCGCGGCUUAUCAGCUUGUUGGUGUGGUAGUGGCUUACCACGGCUUUGACGGGUAGCCGGCCUGAGAGGGUGACCGGCCACAUUGGGACUGAGAUACGGCCCAGACUCCUACGGGAGGCAGCAGUGGGGAAUAUUGCACAAUGGGCGGAAGCCUGAUGCAGAAACGCCGCGUGCGGGAUGACGGCCUUCGGGUUGUAAACCGCUUUCGCCUGUGACGAAGCGUGAGUGACGGUAAUGGGUAAAGAAGCAGCGGCUAACUACGUG